rnacentral:tRNA from 1 species
AGUGGCGUUAGCUGAUAAGUUUCUUCUAAAUACUUUAAUGAGGUGCAAUUCCUUGACCACUU